CCUACGGGAUGCAGCAGUGGGGAAUAUUGCACAAUGGGGGAAACCCUGAUGCAGCGACGCCGCGUGAAGGAUGAAGGUCUUCGGAUCGUAAACUUUUGUCUUCAGGGACGAUAAUGACGGUACCUGAGGAGGAAGCCACGGCUAACUACGUGCCAGCAGCCGCGGUAAUACGUAGGUGGCAAGCGUUGUCCGGAUUUACUGGGUGUAAAGGGCGCGUAGGCGGGUUUUUAAGUCAGGUGUGAAAUCCCUCGGCUCAACCGAGGAACUGCACUUGAAACUGGAGAUCUUGAGUGUCGGAGAGGGAAGCGGAAUUCCUAGUGUAGCGGUGAAAUGCGUAGAUAUUAGGAGGAACACCAGUGGCGAAGGCGGCUUUCUGGACGAUAACUGACGCUGAGGCGCGAAAGCGUGGGGAGCAAACAGGAUUAGAUACCCCAGUAGUC
rnacentral:rRNA from 1 species